UCAGGAUGAACGACUGGCGGACGUGCAUAACACAUUCAAGUCGAACGAACGCGUCGCUUCGGAGAUGCGUGAGUGGCGGACGGGUGAGUAACGCGUGAGCAACCUGCCUGUAAUUGCGGAAUAACACAGGGAAACCUGUGCUAAUACGGCAUAAAGCAGCGAGACCGCAUGGUCAUGCUGUUAAAGAAGCAAUUUGAUUACAGAUGGGCUCGCGUCUGAUUAGAUAGUUGGCAGGGUAACGGCCUACCAAGUCUGCGAUCAGUAGCCGGACUGAGAGGUUGAACGGCCACAUUGGAACUGAGAGACGGUCCAGACUCCUACGGGAGGCAGCAGUGGGGAAUAUUGGGCAAUGGACGAAAGUCCUGACCCAGCGACGCCGCGUGAGGGAAGAAGGUCUUCGGAUUGUAAACCUUAGUUAUCGGGGAAGAAGCAAGUGACGGUACCCGAAGAGAAAGCCACGGCUAACUACGUGCCAGCAGCGGC
rnacentral:rRNA from 1 species